rnacentral:misc_RNA from 1 species
GAAAUGCGAUACGUAGUGUGAAUUGCAGAAUUCCGUGAAUCAUCGAAUCUUUGAACACAAAUUGUACUUUCCAGUAUUCUGGGAAGUAUGCUUGGUUGAGGGUCAUUAAAGUAACAUUCGUGAGUUUUUUUACGGAUUUGAGUUUUCCAGUAUUUAUAAAAAUGUUGGUAACUUUAAAAUUAUUAUCACUUGGUACAAGUUGAAGACGUUCUAUAUGUGUGUGUGGUUCGCUGACAACUUGUCCAUCUCAUAUAUUAUGCGCGCACUUGGUUUUUUAAUGCCAUGUGUGAGUAUAUAUUUUUUUUAUGACCUCAGCUCAAGUAAGAAUACCCGCUGAACUUAA